CUCUCAUGCACUGACCCGCAGCUUCCGAUGUCACAGACACAUUAAAGGCGAGUUUAUUAUCAGGCCGGAGAAAGACAACACACUCAGUGCCUGAAUUAUGAUGACAGUUGGAAAUCCGUUGUCUCAAGCAUGAAGCCAAAUGGACUGUAUUUCUUCUCUCUGUAAAAACAUACAUUAUUGAGGGCUGAAGGGCAGACUCUCAGUAGGUAAGCGUUCUGUAGUCGUGGCCCUCACUUAACCAGCACUGGGGGCCAGAUCACUUUGAUAAAGCAACUAUUUAACCCUGACUUGAACUCCCACUGAAAAUACAACCCUCAUAUGGCACUAUCUCCGAGAGGUCGCGAAUAAAACAGCGACGGGAAAGAAAAUAUCACGUGCGUCCGAUGAGACAGAGAAAGCAAACAUUUGCUCAAAUUCAUAAGCUUGUUAUUUGGGUUUGCCUAAGAUCUUAUCACCUAUCCCGAUCCAAAACACUUACAGAUAGUAAAUAUUGUCUGGGGGACUUAAACAUCUCAUUUUUGUCACCCAAUUUAUAUAAGCCAACUGCGUGAUUUUUAAUUUUUUUGUCUCUAAAAAUGAACAGCAUCAACUGCACUUUGUCUGUCUUAACGUUCCUGAUCAUCUAAAACAGUAGACGUAAUGUGGAUACAUUUACAUAUUAAAAAAUCAUUCUCACAACCCAACAAAAACCUAGACAGUUGUCAAUCAGGCAUCUGUCACUAGUAAGUUUCCCAGGGUUGGGCUGUGUGCUGGCAUCCCCACACUGUUUUCAGAUAAACAGUUCCUAUUACACUGCAAACAGCUCGCUGUGCCCUCCCCUCCCCCUCCGAAAACAGAGUCAUAAUUCAAAACAAAUGAUUCCAGGCUUUGAUGAGAGCACUUUUAUGGGUCACAGAAAGUGAACCUCCCUACCGACAUCUGUUUGAUUUUAUCUACUUGAACUUUAUCCUCAGCCGGAGAUUUAUCGGCCUGCGCUGGACCGAGCCUGUUAAAGUCGCCGUAACAGACAGGAGUAAAAGAAGAUAUGGAGAAGAAAAAAAGUGGAGGACAGCACAUUCCUGUGGAAUGAGUUGGACUGGCUGGCAGAGAUGGCCCAGGAAAGCUGAGAGUGAUGAAUACCAUAGGCCUGUGAAGUGGAACAAGACAGAAGGAAUCCUUAUGAUGCUUCACCAAAACCAUUACACCAAGAAACACACACACACACACACACACACACACACACACACACACACACACACACACACACACAACUAAACAACAACACACACACACACACACACACACACACACACACACACACACACACACACACACACACAAUUACAUAAAAUAAAAACAAAGAACCAUGAACUCAUACACUACAGAUGCUCUAAACUGGCUGAAUGUUGGACCAACUGCAGCCCAGAUGAGCAAAUCUCCAAAACCACAAGGGUGGUUUCCAAAUCAGUAUGAGAUCUAAAAUCAAAUGGAAGCUUCCAAGGCUGGAACGUAAAAAAAUUAACUAUACUGGUGUCUCUUCAGGUGGGUACAGAAAGGGACACCCUUCAAGGAGCCCACGUCAAGGAGAUCAAAAUGACAGAUUUUUUUCUGAAUAUUAAAGGGAUUGACCAAAAAAUAAUUUUUUUUAAAAAAAAUAAAAA
rnacentral:lncRNA from 1 species